rnacentral:misc_RNA from 1 species
UUUCCGUAGGUGAACCUGCGGAAGGAUCAUUAUUGGAUUUUGAAACUUCAGGCUGCUGCUAGCUCUCCUCGGAGGGCAUGUGCACGCUUGUUGUCCAUUAUUUCUCCCACUGUGCACAAAUUGUAGACCUUUCAGUAGGCCUAUGUUGUUUUUCACAAUCUCUGAAUGUAAUAGAAUGGUUUUGAAUCUUGGGAAAUACAAUACAACUUUCAGCAACGGAUCUCUUGGCUCUC